UUGUCCUGCUGGAAAACACCCUGUACCAAUAAGGCUAAGGGCAUCUUCAACUAACUGCCUCAGGGGCUCCUUACCCACAAAGAAGGUGUCAAGGAUUUGGCACAGAGUAGCUGUGAGCACUGCCUGGUCGAGAGUCUCUACCUCUUCUCUCAUGGUGUGCAAUUCCUUCUCCAGACUGCUUUCUCCCCAGCUUUGCCCUGACCACCCUUUCUCCUGGCUUACAUGGCUGCAGAUGCUCUUCCUCAGCUGUAGCAGAACCCAGCAAUGCUUUACCAGGUCCAGCUUCAGAUCUGACCUGGAUGAGUCUGCCAGAAGCAUGCAGUAGAAAACGACUGCUUCCACGUGAGCGCUGAGCUCACUGUCAGAGAGCUGCACUGGGUCUGGGGAAGAGAGGAGAGCCAGCAGCCUGCUCACGUGCUGGGAGAAGGUCCCGCUUCUGUCCCAUGGCUCCCUUCUGACUGUAUUGUCGACGAGCAGGGAAGUGAGCUCUUUGAUGGUGCUCUCCAUUAGCUGGAAAGCAUAAUCUUUGGACAGGUUGGCUCGCUGACCCCAGGAGCGUUUAAGAUCGCUGUGCUUGGCUGCGUGGAGCAAAGGAAUGCACUUGUGAAGCAGCUGCAAAGUUUGGGCCAAGCUCUUCUGUUGAGGACAAUCUCCAAGUUCCUCGAGGUGCUUUGCUGUCAGAUUGCUCAGCAGAAGCAAGGCCUCUGAAAAGGUCCAGAAAGCAGCCAGCAGUCCUGGCAUAUCCCCUGCAUCCCGCAGCACACUCAGGCACUCCAAAAGCCAGCUGGCAGCCUGAAUUAUCCUCCUCGUCCCAGCAGCAUCUUCAAUCUGAAGGAUCUAACCAGGAAGAAAAAAACAACAGAAAAACCAGUCAGAGUGGUAAGGCGCAAGAACCCCUGUUCACUAUUUUUUCCCAAGCUGACACCCCAGCCCUUGGAGGGAAGCAAGGAGAUGUGUGACCUGCCCUAGUGAGCACACGGUGAAGAAACGACCAUUGCUCCAGCUAGAGCUUCCCUCAAACCCCACCCCAAGUCCUGGUGGAGGAGCUCUUGUCCCUCCAACAGCUGCAGUUUUAACCCACUGCUGCGUCCCGGCCCAACACCUUUCCCUGCUCCUGCCAGCAUUAACCCCCUCCAUUGUUACCUUCACUGUCUCUGUUAAGACCCUCUUUGCCGACACAGCCAGCUCCUCUCUGUGGCCAGGGUUGUCUGGCUGCACCUGGAGCUUCUGGGCUACCAGCAGAACGCACCUCCCGGCUUGGACAAGGGACUGGGCUGCAGGAUGCAUCUCCUCUUUGAACACCUCAUCGCUGGACUCCUCAGCCAACCUGGAACAGAAACCGCUGGGCUCAGCUCUCCACCAUCCUCGUGCUGGGUGCACACAGAUCACCGGGGCACGGGUCAGUGCUUUGGCUGUGGAGGGGUAAGGAGUGAUCCUGGGUGACAUCUGUCUGUGGGGGGUGAGUCGAUGCUGCCACUGUGGAAAUGCCAGAGAGGCCAGGGCUGGUGUGCACCGUGCAACGUGCAUCGUGUGGUGUGCAACAUGAAUCACGCACUGUGCGUCACACAUGGUGUGGUGUGCGACAUGCAACACACAUCAUGCAACGUGCAUUGUAUGAUGUCCACCAUGAAUGGCGCACCGUGAGCAUGUGACAUGCAUUGUGCAAUGUGAGUCGUGCAUCGUGCAUCACUGAUCAUGCAACAUGCAUCACGUGGUGUGCAAUGUGAAUCACGCACCAUGCAUCACGCAUGGUGUGGUGUGCAAUGUGCAACAUGCAUCAUGCAACACGUGUCUUGCAACAUGCAUUGUACCAUGUGCAACAUGAGUGUGCAAUGUGCACUGUGCAACACUAAUUGUGCAUCCUGAGUCACGUAUCAUGCAAUGUGCUUCAUGCAAUGUGCAACGUAAGUCAUGCACUAUGCGUCACUUAUGGUGUGUGGUGUGCAGCACGCAUCGUGCAACACGCAUCGUGCCAUGUGCAUUGUGUGAUGUGCAACAUGAAUCGUGCACCAUGAGUGUGUGACGUGCAUCGUGCAACGUGAGUCGUGCAUCCUGCAUCACGGAUCAUGCAGCUUGUCUCGUGUGCUGUGCAACGUGAAUCACGCCCUGUGUGUCACGCAUGGUGUGGUGCAUCGUGCACCGUGCAUUGUGCAAUGUGCACCGUGAAUGCCGCACUGUGUGCGCCGUGCCACCCGUGCAGCGUCAACGGUGCAUCCUGCAUCAUGGAUCAUGCAGGUUGCCUCGUGUGAUGCGCAACAAGAAUUAUGCACUGUGCAUCAUGCAUGGUGUGGUGUGUGACACGCACCGUGCACCGUGCACUGUGCGAUGUGCACCGUGAAUGCCGCACCGUGAGUGUGCAACAUGCAUCCGUGCAACAUCAAUGGUGCAUCCUGCAUCACAAAUC
rnacentral:lncRNA from 1 species